CGCCUCUUGAGUCCUAUAAGAGGUCCAGCCUGCCCAGUGACCCUGUUCAACGGCCGCGGUAUCCUAACCGUGCGAAGGUAGCGUAAUCACUUGUUCUUUAAUUGCGGACUAGUAUGAAUGGCACCACGAAGGUUACACUGUCUCCUUUUUCUAAUCAGUGAAACUAAUCUCCUCGUGAAGAAGCGGGGAUAAAAAUAUAAGACGAGAAGACCCUAUGGAGCUUCAAACAAUAUGGCAACUACCACAAAAUAUUUAAAUUUCCGAAUUUUAAAAUCAUUAGGUAGCAUGACUAUAAGUUUUUGGUUGGGGUGACCACGGAGCAUAACACAACCUCCAUGUUGAAAAUUUUUUAAACUAAGAACAACCCAUCUAAGCAUCAACAUAUUGACAUUCAUUGACCCAAUAUAUUUGAACAACGAACCAAGUUACCCUAGGGAUAACAGCGCAAUCCACUUCAAGAGCUCCUAUCGACAAGUGGGUUUACGACCUCGAUGUUGGAUCAGGGUAUCCCAGUGGUGCAGCCGCUACUAAAGGUUCGUUUGUUCAACGAUUAAAACCCUACG
rnacentral:rRNA from 1 species